rnacentral:tRNA from 1 species
UGGGGUGUAGCUUGGUGGUAGAGCUCUUGCCUCGCAUGCAUGAGGCCCUGGAUUCAUCCCCAGCACCAUAC